GAUCCUGGCUCAGGAUGAACGCUAGCUACAGGCUUAACACAUGCAAGUCGNGGGGCAGCAUGGGAGAUGCUUGCAUUUCCCGAUGGCGACCGGCGCACGGGUGAGUAACGCGUAUCCAACCUGCCCUUCACUCCGGCACAGCCCGUCGAAAGACGGAUUAACGCGGGAUGCAGUCAGAAAGAUGCAUAUUAAUUUGACGAAAGGUCUUCGGGCCGGUGAGGGAUGGGGAUGCG
rnacentral:rRNA from 1 species